rnacentral:misc_RNA from 1 species
GUGAAUUGAAUAUGUUAGCGGACCUCUUCGGAGUCCCUAGCAUCAAAUCAUAUCCAUAACACCCGUGAACUGUAAGGCUGUCUUGAAAACGAAAGUGAUUAGAGCGCCUGCCCAUUUUAUACAAACAUUAAAGUAACAAACGUAGUCUUAUUAUAAUCUAAUA